AUCAUAUUUGCAUAAAGAUAAAAAGGAAGGUGUUAUAGAACACAGUUAAGCCUAUGGUUUCACCAUGAAUUAAAGGUAAUUUCAGACUAAUUAGGUAUAAUUUGUUAAGGAAUUCUUCCCAGCAAUGAUGACUCUGAUUUUGUAAUUACAGGACAAUGCUUACUGUGGCUUUCAAGGCAGGAGAAAAGCACACCCGAGGGGGUCGUGUCCCACACUAGGCAGAUCUAAUGGUGCCACAAAAGACAGGUGUUUCGUCAGAUUUCAGCCACACACUUUCACACCUGCAACGCAUUAACUACAGCAAGGAUGUUAAUGAAGACCAGGUGCCUGUUUUCCAACCUAAGUGAGGAACUGCCACAAGGCUUGCUGUUUGCUACCUGACAUCUACCCCGGAUCUCCAGCAGGGUCCUCUGGUUGAAGGCGCACUGAGGGAAGAGGCCUGUGAGUGACUAGUGCAGUCCUGUGGAGUCUAGAGACCUGGCACGAAGACGUCAGCCUUCCCUUUGGGCUGUGGGUUAUGACCCCUCUACCAGGUCGGAUCUUCGUAGUUGACAGCCUAAAAUAACGAGGAAUUCUUCCAGCGGUGUCUCGGCUCCUUGGGCCGCCUGAGCACAGAGCACAGUCUCCAGGAGCCCUGGAAAUUGCUGAUCUACACAAUCUACAAAAUGGAUUUCUGGAAACUGCUGCGUUAUCAGCUGCUACCAGGGAAAGUUUGAUUGCAGCAACUCGAGUCUUUUCAAACUCAAGGUUUGCCGUUGCUUCCGGAAGUACAAAGCAAGGUCUCUGUUUAGCAUCAACGAUAUCAAAGGAAGCAGAGUUAUGUCCAUGUCCAUCUAUUUGUGUCAGCUCCUUCAUGGCAUCUUUCUAUGGGCCAUACGGAAAUGAUUGGUGUACCGAUGUUUGGUUGAAUUGCCUGUUAAAUCAGCUAAUAUAUAUGAAACAUCUAAAAGCUGUUUUCAUCCUUGCUGAGACAAUGGGCUAAGCUUGAAUCCUCCAACUCUUCCCAGCAACUAGAAGUAGAGAUGCAAGAGAUGACACAAACUGACAAGGGAAAAUGAAGGUUAGCAGAAAGGGAAAGGGAAGCUCAAGACGGGGGACCCUCUCCCUUGAAAAUGGA